UCUCCCCCAUCCACUCCCUCUUCUUUCCUUUCAGAAAUGUGCAGGCCUUCCAUGUAUGUCAGCCAGCCAUGGGUUAUCAAGCUGCAGCAAGAUUAGGCACCUCCCCUCCUAUCAAGGCUGGACAAGGCAACUCAGCAGGAAGAAAGAGUCCCAAGAGCAAGCAACAGAAUCAGAGACAGCCCCUACUCCCUCUGCCAUGAGUCCCACAAGAAAGUCAAGCCACACAACUGCAACACAUGUUGUUGCAACACAUGUGCAAAGGGCCCAGAUCAGUCCUGUGCUAGUUCUCUGGUUAGCGGUUCAGCCUUGGUGAGUUCCCAUGAUCCCAGGUUAGUUGAUUCUGUGAGUUUUCUUGUUAUGUCCUUGGCCCAUCUGGCUCCCAAAGUCCUUCCUUCCCCUCUUCUACAGGAUUCCCUGAGGUCUCCCUAAUGUUUGGCUGUGGGUCUCUGCAUCUGUUCCUAUCAGUUUCUGGGUGAAGCCUCUUUGGAAGGAGAAGUAUUGUCUCUCUGGUUACUCCAGGUUACCUUCUCACAUCUCAAGUUUGGAAGGCCUCUUUGGGAGACACCUAGACACAUCAGAAGCACGAAAUGGUGAGUGUGCC